rnacentral:rRNA from 1 species
UACGUAGGGUGCGAGCGUUGUCCGGAAUUAUUGGGCGUAAAGAGCUCGUAGGCGGUUUGUCGCGUCUGCCGUGAAAGUCCGGGGGCUCAACUCCGGAUCUGCGGUGGGUACGGGCAGACUAGAGUGAUGUAGGGGGAGACUGGAAUUCCUGGUGUAGCGGUGAAAUGCGCAGAUAUCAGGAGGAACACCGAUGGCGAAGGCAGGUCUCUGGGCAUUAACUGACGCUGAGGAGCGAAAGCAUGGGGAGCGAACAGG